UACGAAGGGGGCUAGCGUUGCUCGGAAUCACUGGGCGUAAAGCGCACGUAGGCGGAUCUUUAAGUCAGGGGUGAAAUCCUGGAGCUCAACUCCAGAACUGCCUUUGAUACUGAGGAUCUUGAGUCCGGGAGAGGUGAGUGGAACUCCGAGUGUAGAGGUGAAAUUCGUAGAUAUUCGGAAGAACACCAGUGGCGAAGGCGGCUCACUGGCCCGGUACUGACGCUGAGGUGCGAAAGCGUGGGGAGCGAACAGG
rnacentral:rRNA from 1 species